GGCCGUGAUUUUCAUCCAAUUAAUUAUAAUUAAGAUUUUAUUUUCUCAACACAACCACGCAAUGGUACAAAACAAUGCAAUUAUCAGUAUUAUGAAAAACACAGUUAAUCGCGAAAGACUGAAGCCUAUACUUAGCAAGAGCCUGUAUUUUAGGACAACAACUUCUGCAAAGUUUUCAAAUUCACAGUUAAUACAGUUAUGUAUAUUACAAAUGGAAUCAUAAUCCCAAUACAGGCAAAAUUCCUACUUGUGGCGAGUGAGCAAGAAAAACACGUGAUCUCAGAUCUCCCAGCGCUAUAAAGAAGUUAAAUAAACAUCCGUAAUAGAUAAAAACAGAACAAGAUAACCGAAAUUUAAAUAACCGUAAAGUUAAGAUUACUCAACUCAUGGAACCGGACAUAGAAGAGUCCAAACAGGGUUGUCAAGUGCUUGAAAAUAGAGGACAUUAAGAUUUAAAACAUUUACAACUAUGGCCAUGAAUUGAACUACAUUUUUUUGUAAACCAUAAUCAGACAAUAUUCAGGGUACUGUUGAUGGUAGGUAGCACUAAGAAUAAUUUUAUGCAAGCAUUGGGGCCAUUCACAAACCGAAGAGAAGUCGUUCAACGGGCAUGUCAAGAGUCUAGAAUUUGUAACUUUAUGAACACGGAAUUUAUAUUAAAUGCAUACAUUUCACGGUAGUUA